AUGUCUAAAUUUUUGCCACGCACGACGGGUAUACGAACGGUCACACGGGAGCUGAAACGUUUUGCUAUAGUGGAGACUGAAUACGAACGGCGCACCUUUUCAUGUGCUGCCUGUUCGCUUCGUCUCCCUCCGUUGCUUCACCUCCCGUCGCAGCCUGUUCACAUCCCUCUCCUGUGUCUAUAUAAGAGAGGUCGCUCCUCUCCAGAGAGACACAUAAGAAAGUCCUCUUCCCCUCGCCACAAAGUUCCUGAGCACUGCGCUGCUGCUACAAUCUUCCCCAUCCCGGCUUGUGGCGUGCAUCGCAGGUCGGGACAGUAG
rnacentral:rRNA from 1 species